GGUGAGUAACGCGUGGGUAACCUGCCUCACACUGGGGGAGUAACAGUUAGAAAUAGCUGCUAAUACCGCAUAAGCGCACAGUUCCGCAUGGAACAGUGUGAAAAACUCCGGUGGUGUGAGAUGGACCCGCGUCUGAUUAGCCAGUUGGCGGGUAACGGCCCACCAAAGCGACGAUCAGUAGCCGGCCUGAGAGGGUGAACGGCCACAUUGGGACUGAGACACGGCCCAAACUCCUACGGGAGGCAGCAUG
rnacentral:rRNA from 1 species